AAAGUCGGUCGAUGAAAACAUGUUCAACUAUUUGGAUGAAUUGACUAAACUCUCCCAGGUACAAGCAGUGUCAACAUUUACCUGGGGACACCCAGGACUUGUUAAUAGUUCAUGUUCGAGAACCUUCCGAUGGGGACGCAAAUGGACAAAAGUGUUGGGACACCUGGCUAUCACAAUUAAACCAAGUUAAAAAUAGUUUCCACUCUUCUGGGCGUUCUGAAAGAUGUGAAGUUCAGUGCGUAGACACGAGCAGCUGUCACUGAGAUGGAGGAGGUGAGAGGGCGGCUGCAUCGGCGAUUUCUCACGAAUGAGAUCCGAGGAAAACAUAAUGAGGC